GUGAAGCUUGGAGUAGACCUAGGUGGUCAAAGAAAAGUUUCAUUGUACAGGGUUCCUUCCCACCUCCACGUCUGCCCGAGAAAGCACACCAUGUGUGUUGUAAUAGAACAGAAGAAAGAUCCCUGAACUCCUGGCACAUCUGCUUGCCAACAGAGGAACAACUGGAGAACACUAAACCGUCAAGCUGGUGGCACAGACGCUGCAGGCCCUGCUCCGUCUCCAGUUGUAGAGGAGAAUUGCUUAUUUGAGGUCUCCAAAGAUGUUCCUCAGCUGUGCCUGUAUUCUUGAAGGUCAUUGAAGUCGAAUUCGAUUUUAGAUUUUUAAACAGUAGAUUUGCUUUUGUUUAUUUGUUUCUGUAACAAACCUGUGAUUUUCCCAAAUACACAUUCACACCAAAAAAAAUGGAAGCAAUUUGUUUCAUUAGCACUUCAAAAGGAGAAAGAAGUUGAUUGAACGUCUGCAUGAGCCCCCAGUGGAGAAACUGAGAUCUUCAUUAUCCAAUCAUGUCUCUAACUUGCCAAAUAGUCUAUUGCUUGGGGAGAGUGGGACCUGGCUUUAUAAAAACUUCAUCGUGUCCCAGCUGAGUGCACUAUUACACACAGAAAUACAACUAGUUUUAAUGAGCAUAGAUAAAACAAAGCUCUGCUUACUAAGUACACCCUCGAUAAUGAAACUAUAUUCAUUUCAUUACAAACUAUUCAUAAUUACAAUGUACUUAAUGCAUACUUUUUUUUAGACAAUAUAACUCUAACUCUAAC